GAUGGAUGUGAGUCUAGUCCAUGUAUGACGUUACCAUGACUAGAUCCACACUCAUCCG
rnacentral:pre_miRNA from 1 species